UCAAUUAAAUGCAUAUUUCUAAUACCUUUCUCUGCAAAGUCAAUCAUACACUACAGGUUAAAAAGACCUUUAUGCUUUUUGCUACAACUAACAACCAAUAUUAAUCUGCAAGUAGCAUAUAUUGAUGUUUAUCUUCAGGACACUUUGGCAAACUAUAGUCAUCCAUGGCAACCAUGGAAAUCAUGUAAUCUUGUCAUAAUACCAUAGAUGCACAAUACUGAUAAAGUAACAGGCAAAUAAAUAGGUGCUCUAACAGAUUUUUAUGAAAUUUUGCAAGCAACUAGAGCAUUUGGAACCAUAUAUGAAUAUCACAAGAGUGCACACGCUGAAAUGUCUCGCCUUCUUUACUAACCAUUGAUUUUAUGUUGAUAGUCCUAAAUAUAAAGAUUUACUAAAAGUAACACAUAAACUUAACAUGAUCCAAGAAAAUGAGGUCAAGGUCAGAUAAACCAAACAAGAAAUACAUGUACACCUAACAAUCAUUCAAAAAACCAAACAUAGUUGACCUAUUGCUUAUAGUUUCUAAGAAACAGUCUUAACCAAGAAAACUUAACAUUGACCAAUGAACCAUGAAAAUGAGGUCAAGGUCAGAUGAACCAUGCCAGACAGACAUGUACACCUUAAAAUCAAUUUAUGCAUUAAAUAUAGUCAACCUAUUGCUUAUAGUAUAUAAGAAACAAACUUAACCAUGAAAACUUAACAUUGACCAAUGAACCAUGAAAAUGAGGUCAAGGUCAGAUGAUACCUGUCAGACAGACAUAUACACCUUACAAUCCUUCCAUACAACAAAUAUAGUUGAUCUAUUGCUUAUAGUUGAAGAAAAACAGACCAAAACACAAAAACUUAACACUGAGAAAUGAAUCGUGAAAAUGAGGUCAAGGUCAAAUAAAACCUGCGAGACUGACAUGUACAUCAUAAAAUAUUUCUAUACACCAAAUAUAGUUGACCUAUUGCAUAUAGUAUUAGAAAAAAAGACCAAAACUCAAAAACUAAACUUUGACCACUGAACCAUGAAAAUGAGGUCAAGGUCAGAUGACACCUGCCAGCUAGACAUGUACACCUUACAAUCAUUCCAUACACCAAAUAUAGUAGACCUAUUGCAUACAGUAUAAGAAAAACAGACCAAAACACAAAAACUUAACUAUAACCACUGAACCAUGAAAAUGAGGUCAAGGUCAGAUGACACCUGCCAGUUGGACAUGUACACCUUACAGUCCUUCCAUACACCGAAUAUACUAGACCUAUUGCUUAUAGUAUCUGAGAUAUGGACUUGACCACGAAAACUUAACCUUGUUCACUGAUCCAUGAAAUGAGGUCGAGGUCAAGUGAAAACUGUCUGACGGGCAUGAGGACCUUGCAAGGUACGCACAUACCAAAUAUAGUUAUCCUAUUACUUAUAAUAAGAGAGAAUUUAACAUUACAAAAAAUCUGAACUUUUUUUUCAAGUAGUCACUGAACCAUGAAAAUGAGGUCAAGGACAUUGGACAUGUGACUGACGGAAACUUCGUAACAUGAGGCAUCCAUAUACAAAGUAUGAAGCAUCCAGGUCUUCCAUCUUCUAAAAUAUAAAGCUUUUAAGAAGUUAGCUAACGACGCCGCUGCCGCUGCCGCCGCCACCGGAUCGCUAUCCCUAUGUCGAGUUUUCUGCGACAAAAGUCGCAGGCUCGACAAAAAUGU